rnacentral:tRNA from 1 species
ACCUGGCUGGCUCAGUUGGUAGAACAUGCAACUCUUGAUCUCAGGGUUGUGGGUUCGAGUCCCACAUUGGGUG